UACGUAGGGUGCGAGCGUUGUCCGGAAUUAUUGGGCGUAAAGGGCUCGUAGGCGGUUUGUCGCGUCGGGAGUGAAAACUCAGGGCUUAACCCUGAGCCUGCUUCCGAUACGGGCAGACUAGAGGUAUGCAGGGGAGAACGGAAUUCCUGGUGUAGCGGUGAAAUGCGCAGAUAUCAGGAGGAACACCGGUGGCGAAGGCGGUUCUCUGGGCAUUACCUGACGCUGAGGAGCGAAAGUGUGGGGAGCUAACAGG
rnacentral:rRNA from 1 species